rnacentral:RNase_P_RNA from 1 species
GAAAUAUAGAUUCCAUUUUGAGGAUUCCUAUAUCCUCGAGGAGAACUUCUAGUAUAUUCUGUAUACCUAAUAUUAUAGCCUUUAUCAACAAUGGAAUCCCAACAAUUAUCUCAAAAUUUACCCAUUUCUCACUAAUGUCGCUUUUGGCAUUGAUCCCUGCUCCUGAGAGAAGAAAUACACUGGGGAACCAGUCUUUACCGACCGUUGUUAUCAGAAAUUCACGGAGUUCGGCCUAGGUUGGACUCCGAUGGGAACGGCAACGGUUGUUCCGUUUGACUUGUCGCCCGCUACGGCGUGAGCGUCAAGGUCUGUUGAGUGCAAUCGUAGGACGUCAUUUGUGGCGAACCCGAUACCGAUUACUGCUGCUGUUCC